GACGAACGCUGGCGGCGUGCUUAACACAUGCAAGUCGAACGGAAAGGCCCUGCUUUUGUGGGGUGCUCGAGUGGCGAACGGGUGAGUAACACGUGAGUAACCUGCCCUUGACUUUGGGAUAACUUCAGGAAACUGGGGCUAAUACCGGAUAGGAGCUCCUGCUGCAUGGUGGGGGUUGGAAAGUUUCGGCGGUUGGGGAUGGACUCGCGGCUUAUCAGCUUGUUGGUGGGGUAGUGGCUUACCAAGGCUUUGACGGGUAGCCGGCCUGAGAGGGUGACCGGCCACAUUGGGACUGAGAUACGGCCCAGACUCCUACGGGAGGCAGCAGUGGGGAAUAUUGCACAAUGGGCGGAAGCCUGAUGCAGCAACGCCGCGUGCGGGAUGACGGCCUUCGGGUUGUAAACCGCUUUCGCCUGUGACGAAGCGUGAGUGACGGUAAUGGGUAAAGAAGCACCGGCUAACUACGUGCCAGCAGCCGCGGUGAUACGUAGGGUGCGAGCGUUGUCCGGAUUUAUUGGGCGUAAAGGGCUCGUAGGUGGUUGAUCGCGUCGGAAGUGUAAUCUUGGGGCUUAACCCUGAGCGUGCUUUCGAUACGGGUUGACUUGAGGAAGGUAGGGGAGAAUGGAAUUCCUGGUGGAGCGGUGGAAUGCGCAGAUAUCAGGAGGAACACCAGUGGCGAAGGCGGUUCUCUGGGCCUUUCCUGACGCUGAGGAGCGAAAGCGUGGGGAGCGAACAGGCUUAGAUACCCUGGUAGUCCACGCUGUAAACGGUGGGUACUAGGUGUGGGGUCCAUUCCACGGGUUCCGUGCCGUAGCUAACGCUUUAAGUACCCCGCCUGGGGAGUACGGCCGCAAGGCUAAAACUCAAAGGAAUUGACGGGGCCCCGCACAAGCGGCGGAGCAUGCGGAUUAAUUCGAUGCAACGCGUAGAACCUUACCUGGGUUUGACAUGGAUCGGGAGUGCUCAGAGAUGGGUGUGCCUCUUUUGGGGUCGGUUCACAGGUGGUGCAUGGCUGUCGUCAGCUCGUGUCGUGAGAUGUUGGGUUAAGUCCCGCAACGAGCGCAACCCUUGUUCACUGUUGCCAGCACGUUAUGGUGGGGACUCAGUGGAGACCGCCGGGGUCAACUCGAAGGAAGGUGGGGAUGACGUCAAGUCAUCAUGCCCCUUAUGUCCAGGGCUUCACGCAUGCUACAAUGGCUGGUACAGAGAGUGGCGAGCCUGUGAGGGUGAGCGAAUCUCGGAAAGCCGGUCUCAGUUCGGAUUGGGGUCUGCAACUCGACCUCAUGAAGUCGGAGUCGCUAGUAAUCGCAGAUCAGCAACGCUGCGGUGAAUACGUUCCCGGGGCUUGUACACACCGCCCGUCAAGUCAUGAAAGCUGGUAACACCCGAAGCCGGUGGCCUAACCGUUGUGGGGGAGCCGUCGAAGGUGGGACUGGUGAUUAGGACUAAA
rnacentral:rRNA from 1 species